UCUCACUUCAACCUUCGCCUCCUGGGUUUAAGUGAUUUUUCUGCCUCAGCCUCCCAAGGAAUUGAAGGAAGAAGAGCUUCUAUGGUGCAAUGAGGAAAGGAGUAUAUCCUGCCCUAAUAUCUUGGAUAUAAAAGCCAUCCACAAAAAAACAAGGAACUAACCUGUCAGGUACUGAGAGGCUUUGAAGAUGGCUCUUCAGGUUGGGGACACGCCUUUGUUAAGGGGCAAGACUGCUGCCUGGAGUUGAUUCACAUACUCAGAGGUAGGAUUGACCACAUAAAGAAAAUGCUUUCAA